rnacentral:rRNA from 1 species
GCUCACUCCAACCCAAUGUGAACGUUACCAAACUGUUGCCUCGGCGGGGUCACGCCCCGGGUGCGUCGCAGCCCCGGAACCAGGCGCCCGCCGGAGGAACCAACCAAACUCUUUCUGUAGUCCCCUCGCGGACGUAUUUCUUUACAGCUCUGAGCAAAAAUUCAAAAUGAAUCAAAACUUUCAACAACGGAUCUCUUGGUUCUGGCAUCGAUGAAGAACGCAGCGAAAUGCGAUAAGUAAUGUGAAUUGCAGAAUUCAGUGAAUCAUCGAAUCUUUGAACGCACAUUGCGCCCGCCAGUAUUCUGGCGGGCAUGCCUGUCCGAGCGUCAUUUCAACCCUCGAACCCCUCCGGGGGAUCGGCGUUGGGGAUCGGGACCCCUCACACGGGUGCCGGCCCCUAAAUACAGUGGCGGUCUCGCCGCAGCCUCUCCUGCGCAGUAGUUUGCACAACUCGCACCGGGAGCGCGGCGCGUCCACGUCCGUAAAACACCCAACUUUCUGAAAUGUUGACCUCGGAUCAGGUAGGAAUACCCGCUGAACUUAAGCAUAUCAAUAAGCGGARGAA